rnacentral:rRNA from 1 species
UACGUAGGGGGCAAGCGUUGUCCGGAAUCAUUGGGCGUAAAGAGCGUGUAGGCGGCUUGGCAAGUCUCGCGUGAAAUCCUGCGGCUCAACCGCAGGCGGUCGCGGGAAACUGCCUCGCUAGAGUCCGGAAGAGGAGAGUGGAAUUCCUGGUGUAGCGGUGGAAUGCGUAGAUAUUGCUCGGAAGGCCAACGGCGAAGGCAGGUUACUGGUGCGCAACUGACACUGAGGCACGAAAGCGUGGGGAGCAAACAGG